UCGAUGCGGGGCUCGAUGCGGGGCUCGAUCCCAGGACCUGGAAUCAUGACCUGAGCUGAAGGCAGACGCUUAACGACUGAGCCACCCAGGUGCCCCGAGGGGUCAGGAUUUCAACAGAUGCUGUCUCUCUCCCUAAGGAGACCGAGUGGGAUGUAUCUUCGUCUUCUCUGCCUCCCCAGCACCAUGCGCCGGCCACCAAGAAAACGUAUUCUGCAGAGUCCCGAUCCAGCAACAGAGUUGCUCCAGCUGGGCAAGGAGGAUGGUAUUACUUGGACACCCUCAGUCCGAUGCAGCGUGGCAGCUACGACGGCCAUGAGGACCCUGGACCAUGAGGACGAGGACUAUACCCCAGGCUGGCCAGAGAUGAGCUGGAUGGAACCUGGGACUCGGGGAAGUGUGGGGAGCUGAGCUCCACACCAGCUCUAAAUGGCGCACUUCUGGACUUGAACUUGAGGGAUGAAUAAACCAUUGCUCAAGUCACGUUAUUUUCAGGGUCUUAUACUUGCCGCCGGACUGCAUCCUAACUGACAACCUAAAUUCUCAUCCCAGGGCUGUGGAGCCCCAGACGGUGGGCUCAGUGCUCUCUGACUUUGGCAUCUCCUUCUCUAAAAUGAAGUUCAAAAGCCUUUUUAAACUUUUUUUUUUAAUUUUUUUUAUUUAUUUUUGAGAGAGAGAGAAUGACAGAGAGAGAG